rnacentral:rRNA from 1 species
GACGAACGCUGGCGGCGUGCUUAACACAUGCAAGUCGAACGGAAAGGCCCUGCUUUCGUGGGGUGCUCGAGUGGCGAACGGGUGAGUAACACGUGAGUAACCUGCCCUUGACUUUGGGAUAACUUCAGGAAACUGGGGCUACUACCGGAUAGGAGCUCCUGCUGCAUGGUGGGGGUUGGAAAGUUUCGGCGGUUGGGGAUGGACUCGCGGCUUAUCAGCUUGUUGGUGGGGUAGUGGCUUACCAAGGCUUUGACGGGUAGCCGGCCUGAGAGGGUGGCCGGCCACAUUGGGACUGAGAUACGGACCAGACUCCUACGGGGGGCAGCAGUGGGGAAUAUUGCCCAAUGGGCGGAAGCCUGAUGCAGCAACGCCGCGUGCGGGAUGACGGCCUUCGGGUUGUAAACCGCUUUCGCCUGUGACGAAGCGUGAGUGACGGUAAUGGGUAAAGAAGCACCGGCUAACUACGUG